UACGGAGGGGGCUAGCGUUGUUCGGAAUUACUGGGCGUAAAGCGCGCGCAGGCGGUUUCUCAAGUCAGUGGUGAAAGCCCGGAGCUCAACUCCGGAACUGCCAUUGAAACUGUGAAACUUGAGGACGAGAGAGGUGAGUGGAAUUCCCAGUGUAGAGGUGAAAUUCGUAGAUAUUGGGAGGAACACCUGUGGCGAAAGCGGCGCACUGGACCAUAACUGACGCUGAGGCGCGAAAGCUAGGGGAGCAAACAGG
rnacentral:rRNA from 1 species